rnacentral:rRNA from 1 species
AGUGAACGCUGGCGGUAGGCCUAACACAUGCAAGUCGAACGGCAGCACAGUAAGCGCUUGCUCUUACGGGUGGCGAGUGGAGGAGGGGUGGGGAAUACAUCGGAAUCUACUUUUUCGUGGGGGAGAACGUAGGGAGAAAUACGAUAAUACAGCAUACGACCUACGGGUGAAAGCAGGAGAUCUUCGGACUUUGAGUGAUUGAAUGAGCCGGUGGCGGAUUAGCUAGUUGGCGGGGUAAAGGCACACCAAGGCGACGAUCCGUAGCUGGUCUGAGAGGAUGAUCUGCCACACUGGAACUGAGACACGGGCCAGACUCCUACGGGAGGCAGCAGUGGGGAAUAUUCAACAAUGGGCGCAAGCCUGAUCCAGCCAUACCGCGUUGAUCAUGAAGGCCUUCGGGUUGUAAAACCCUUUUAUUAGGAAAGAAAAGCAGCAGAUGAAUACCCCUCUGUUCUGACGUUACCCAAACAAUAAGCACCGGCUAACUUCGUG